rnacentral:rRNA from 1 species
CCUACGGGAGGCAGCAGUGGGGAAUAUUGGUCAAUGGGCGCAAGCCUGACCCAGCAACGCCGCGUGAAGGAAGAAGGCUUUCGGGUUGUAAACUUCUUUUCUCAGGGACGAAGCAAGUGACGGUACCUGAGGAAUAAGCCUCGGCGAACUACGUGCCAGCAGCCGCGGUAAUCCGGCGGUGGCAAGCGUUAUUCGGAUUUACUGGGUGUAAAGGGCGUGUAGGGGGGAACGGAAGUCAGAUGUUAAAACUACGGGCUCAACCCGUGGCCUGGCUUUGAAACUGGGUUUCUUGAGUACUGGAGAGGAAGACGGAAUGCCUAGUGUAGCGGUGAAAUGCGUAGAUAUUAGGAGGAACACCAGUGGCGAAGGCGGUAUGCCGGAGAGCAACUGACGCUCAGGCGCGAAAGCGUGGGGAGCAAACAGGAUUAGAUACCCGAGUAGUC